AAUAAGCAUGAAGAGAGCUCCCCCUCAAUAUGAUACCAAAACAACCAAAUCUCAUAAACAAGAUAACAUAAAACCAGAAUAGGCUCCAUAAAGGUUCAUCACUCAUAGAAUAGUACAUAAUCUAUUAUAUAAUUAAAACAGAAGUAAAACAAGCCGUCACAUUCAUCCACAUAAGUUAGAAUUAUCUAAUCCGUUAGAUUGUAAUAUUAACAGCCUUGAUUUAAAAUCAACGCGUAAACGAGAAAAGUUGUGUUGUUACGUGUACGUUCAUAUAAUGUGUACGUGCAUAUAACGGACCAACACAUCCAUGUUCCAUCAUGUGUAAUUAGGAUAAAAACAAUUAUAUUGUAAUUAGGAUAAAAAUAGUAGUCAAACCUAAAUAAAUAAAUAAAUAAAUAAAUAAGGAACCUAAGCAAAUAAGGACAUCAUUUUUUUUCAAACUCGGACACGCAUGCAAAUAAGACGUGUAUACGGACUACGUACAAACAUGACUUGCCAAGGCAAACACGGCACAUGAAAACACAUACAUGCAACCGCACCCAGCACAUGCCCAAAAAUUGAAGUCAGCCAAAUCUGCUACCUAGCUAGCACACUACCAACAAAAUCAGUCUUCCAAUUCAACUACGUAAGCAACCGCACCCAGCACAUGCCCAAAAAUUGAAGUCAGCCAAAUCUGCUACCUAGCUAGCACACUACCAACAAAAUCAGUCUUCCAAUUCAACUACGUAAUGUCACCAAGCCAGAUGUAGUGACGCCCAAGCAACCUUCUGAGUGGCUUCUCACCUGAGUCAUAAAGGUUUCUAAUUGUUAUUCUGGAUCCAAUCUACCUUGGCAAUCAAAGUCUUCCGAUUCAACUAUGCAACGCCGAUGUAGUCAUGGCAACCUUUUGAGUGACUCACCUGAAUCAUCAAGGUUCGUAAUUGUUAUUCUGGAUCCAAUCUACCUUCUGAGUAGCCUCUCGCCUGAAUCAUCAAGGUUUGUAAUUGUUAUUCUGCAUACAAUCUUCAUAGGUGCAUUAUUAAUAAUUCACUAGCGAUUUUGUGAUCCUUUUGCAGCAAUGGCAUACAACAAGCAUAGCGAGUUCACAACAGGAGGACGAAACUAUGUAUUCAAGUGCAAGUAAUGAGAAUAUGAAAUUCAAUCAAUCCUACAGUUAAUUGGCUCUGGAACCUCGGCAUGAUAUUCAUAGAUGAAAAGGUUU
rnacentral:lncRNA from 1 species